AUGCAGUCGAACGCGAAAGUUCCCUUCGGGGAGCGAGUAGAGUGGCGCACGGCCCUUUUAANACGUAGGUAAUUUGCCUUUGGGUGGGGAAUACCNCCNGGAAACGGUUGUUAAUACCGCAUAAUGCAGCGGCAUCACAUGAUGACAGUUGUUAAAGCGGGGGAUCGCAAGACCUCGCGCCUGAAGAGAAGCCUGCGGCAGAUUAGGUAGUUGGUGAGGUAAUGGCUCACCAAGCCUGCGAUCUGUAACCGGCCUGAGAGGGCGGUCGGUCACACUGACACUGACAUACGGGUCAGACUCCUACGGGAGGCAGCAGUCGGGAAUUUUGGGCAAUGGGCGAAAGCCUGACCCAGCAACGCCGCGUGAAGGAUGAAAUUUUUCGGAAUGUAAACUUCGCAAGAAUGGGAAGAAUAAGUGGGGGACAAUACCCCCCAUGAUGACGGUACCAUUUGUAAGCUCCGGCUAACUUCGUGCCAGCAGCCGCGGUAAUACGAGGGGAGCAAGCGUUGUUUCGGAUUUACUGGGCGUAAAGGGCGCGUAGGCGGCUCUACNAGUCACUUGUGAAAUCUCCGGGCUUAACUCGGAACGGUCAAGUGAUACUGUCGAGCUAGAGUGCANAAGGGGCAAUUGGAAUUCUCGGUGUAGCGGGUGAAAUGCGUANAUAUCGAGAGGAACACCAUAGGCGAAUGCGGAUUGCCUGGGCUGA
rnacentral:rRNA from 1 species